GAUGAACGCUGGCGGCGUGCCUAAUACAUGCAAGUCGAGCGAACAGAUAAGGAGCUUGCUCCUUUGACGUUAGCGGCGGACGGGUGAGUAACACGUGGGUAACCUACCUAUAAGACUGGAAUAACUCCGGGAAACCGGGGCUAAUGCCGGAUAACAUUUAGAACCGCAUGGUUCUAAAGUGAAAGAUGGUUUUGCUAUCACUUAUAGAUGGACCCGCGCCGGAUUAGCUAGUUGGUAAGGUAACGGCUUACCAAGGCAACGAUACGUAGCCGACCUGAGAGGGUGAUCGGCCACACUGGAACUGAGACACGGUCCAGACUCCUACGGGAGGCAGCAGUGGGGAAUCUUCCGCAAUGGGCGAAAGCCUGACCGAGCAACGCCGCGUGAGUGAUGAAGGUCUUCGGAUCGUAAAACUCUGUUAUUAGGGAAGAACAAAUGUGUAAGUAACUGUGCACGUCUCGACGGUACCUAAUCAGAAAGCCACGGCUAACUACGUG
rnacentral:rRNA from 1 species